CGAGCCUCAAACUCGGACCCUGACUCUCGGCCAUGCAUUCGAAUGCCUAUGCACGCGGGUGCAACUGAUUGCUCCGCUCGUCCCAUCGCGGUUCUUCCCCCGGCGUGGCGUGUUAUAGGGGCGCUGGAUAUUGAAUUCGCUGCGAAACUUAUGUUUGUUUUAUUCAUGCCCAGAAGGAGCGGGCUGACGGGACACCAAUGAUUAUGGGUUAUCGAUGCUGUUCGACGUCGCGAUCGUUUAUGGGUAUGCAAAAAACCCUGCGAUAUUGGCCCAGAGGAAAAAUCCGGUGUUUGACGAGACGAGCGGUACGGGAGAGGAGAGGCAAAAG